rnacentral:rRNA from 1 species
GCAGUCGGGGGGCAGCGCAGUGUAGCAAUACAUGGGCGGCGACCGGCAAACGGGUGCGGAACACGUACGCAACCUUCCUUCAAGCGGGGGAUAGCUUUCGGAAACGGAAAUUAAUACCCCAUAGUACUAUCUGAGGGCAUCUGAGGAUAGUUAAAGAUUUAUCACUUGAAGAUGGGCGUGCGGCUGAUUAGGUAGUUGGCGGAGUAACAGCCCACCAAGCCAACGAUCAGUAACUGGUGUGAGAGCACGACCAGUCACACGGGCACUGAGACACGGGCCCAACUCCUACGGGAGGCAGCAGUAAGGAAUAUUGGUCAAUGGACGCAAGUCUGAACCAGCCAUGCCGCGUGGAGGAUGAAGGUCCUCUGGAUUGUAAACUUCUUUUAUCGGAGAAGAAACCCCUGAAUUCUUUUAGGGUUGACGGUACCCGAUGAAUAAGCACCGGCUAACUCCGUGCCAGCAGCCGCGGUAAUACGGAGGGUGCAAGCGUUAUCCGGAUUCACUGGGUUUAAAGGGUGCGUAGGCGGGUUGGUAAGUCAGUGGUGAAAUCUCUAAGCUUAACUUGGAAACUGCCGUUGAUACUAUCAAUCUUGAAUAUUGUGGAGGUAAGCGGAAUAUGUCAUGUAGCGGUGAAAUGCUUAGAUAUGACAUAGAACACCGAUAGCGAAGGCAGAUUGCUACACAAUUAUUGACGCUGAGGCACGAAAGCGUGGGGAUCAAACAGGAUUAGAUACCCUGGUAGUCCACGCCCUAAACGAUGGAUACUCGACAUACGCGAUACACAGUGUGUGUCUGAGCGAAAGCAUUAAGUAUCCCACCUGGGAAGUACGACCGCAGGUUGAAACUCAAAGGAA